CGUAGUGAUAUUCAGCAAUGCGGUAUGUCGCACUUUUUCUAGGAUAUGUUCGUGAACUUGUCAGACCUCAUAUUUGCCUGUUGGCCUGGGUUCAAGAGAACAAUAGUGACUGUUUGGGGAGGAAUGGAGGAGAACAGUCAUGAAAAUUUGCCCAGCUUUCUUGGAAAAGUCUGACCCUCAUCUGGCAAGGGAGUGUCAUCAGGACUUAGCAAAAUAAGAGAGCUUCACAAGCUAACACUUCCAUAUAUGAAGCCCAGUUGCCCAACUUUUCUUAUACAGGUUUAUUUGCUUCUAGAAACUGGACUGCCAGCCACAGGUCAUGGCCUGGGCUGCUUCUAGGCAGCUCCUUUCCCACCUGCCUCCUGUUUCGGCCUUCUCUGAAGUUCAAGCCAGUCCUCAGGCAUUUUUCUAACUUGCCCAGGUUAUGAAUUUAUAUUCUGUUCUCUCCCCUGCUUCCUCAUCCCCAAAAGCUGACUGUCCUCCCAAACUCAGUGUCAUUGACAAAAGCAGCAUCUCCCAAAGAGGAGGGAUGAAGUCAUGGCUGAGUUUCGCUCAGCACUUAAAUCCCAUUAAAGCAAACUUCAGCCUGGCAAGCAAGGAACAAGCAGAGAGACUGAUGUCUGGAAAAGGGGAGGUUUAGGAUACAUUUGACGUCAGUAUUUAAGAAUGGACUGUCAACUGUUCAGUCCUUCAACAAACAGCAAUCAGGUACCCACUGGGAAGCAGGGAGAGAAUUUCAGGACCAAGUCAUUAAUUCAAAGGACAUCAAGAAAAUACAGUAUAGACAACACCUUGACCUGUUCUAAAUAACUUCAUGUGUGCAAUUGCACAACGCUUUAUAAAGGGGCCCACAAAGCCAGGGGUAUUGUAUAUGUGAAGUUUGCACUGACUAGAAGCAAACAUUUGCAUUGGAUGAACUACCUCCUCAAAAGCCCGUAUCCUCAGCUCAUGCAAAUGUUGCUAUUUGUGCUGAGUGGAGUGGCAUUUCCACUUCUCCUACCACAAAAGCUGUAUUUCUUUCACUAUUAAGGUUAAUGAGGGCUGGGGCCCUGUAAUCUAAGGGAGUAGGUUACUUCUCAUAUAGAUAGCUGAGAGAGAAAAAGAUUUAGAACUUUGGUGGACGGGGGAUGCACACACUGCCAAACCGGAAAUGAAGGCAUGCAACGGAAGCAAGGGAAAGCACCCAUAGAACGAAGGGUCUCUGUCCCGCAGUUCCUUCAUCUGUAAGAAGAUGCCGAAUUAGACCAUGCCCUCCCGGAGCAUGACUGAGAGAUGCCAGUUCACAGGUAUGUGACUCAAGGUUUGAUUAUGUGAGUAUUAUGGUAAGGGAAAUAUUUUGUCAAGAAUUAGCAGCUGCUAUGACAUUGCUAGUAGGACACCAAUCUCGAGUGUAUUUUCAGAAGUGGUGAUACGGUUUGAGUUGAUCUCUUGUCCUGUGAUCAAGGUCAUGCAUUUGCAAGAGGCCCUUAGAAAUGUCUGUAUCUACAAAGUUGAAAUUUACAAAACAUUACAAGUGAUUGAGACUAUCAUACCUGUGCAUUCAAAAACGAUAACCCAUUUUGCCCAAAGGCAAAGGAGGAAAGAGUCCUGUAUGGAAGGAAUCACAGGAGGAAAGGCCCUCCUCACCGUUUUUUCUUAUCUUUCUUGCAACAGAGAACUUUAUUAAGACAAAAGUCAUAAUUUUACUCAUCCCACCAAAGUCCUUCUAGAGGGGAUACAGAGGGUUAAGACCUAAAGAGUAUGGGGAUUCUUGUUCAAGUGACAAAAAUGUACUAAAAUUGUGGUGUUGAUGGUACUUAUCUUCGAAUAUACUAAAAACAGUUGAAUUGUACACUCUAAAUGAGCGAAUUGUUUGGUAUGUGAAUUAUAUCUUGAAACUUAAAAAAAAAUAAGGUAAUGUAAUACUAUAAUGAGGCAGGUGUGGAUGCAAACUUUGAACAUAGACUAAAGCAAAGUAACCUGGAUGAAACCCUUCAUUUUUACUUUCUUAGUGUCCUACUCACAUGUUGAACCAAUAAGACGUAACUAGAGUAACUUCAGGUAAAUUUUCUAUUUCAUUCGUAUGCCCAAGAAAAACAACUUUCCCCACCCCACCAAAAAAAAUGGAAUAAAGUUGCCCAAUAAUAGACUUCCAUUUCUGACAGCAGGGCAUUUUGGACACCCUGCACAGCAGUUUCAACUGAAAUAACAUAUAAAUUGUGGAUUACAUUUACUAUUUUAAAUGUAUUAUUCAGCUGGCAUAAAGUCACCUCAGAGCCCUGUAGCAGAGUGAAACCCUGGGAGGUGAGUGUCCAAAGCUAACAGCAGCAGUCAGAAUAGGUUGGGUUAUGCAGUGCUAACAAACACAAUCUCAGUGGUUGACAUAAUAGUUUAUUUCUCAUUCAUGCUUCAGGUCUGCGGGGUCCAUGCUUGUUCUAAUCCUGUGGGGACCCAGGCUGAUGGAGGCUUCCAUUCAACAUGUUUUAGCGUUCUCAACCCAUCUUGGCUACCACCUGCUCUGUGUCAGUUCCAGAGACCACAAACAACACGAUAAGCAAACAAUACUACUGAGGGACAUGCAGACCACUCCUGCUUAAUUCUCACCUGACUCAGCUUCCCUUCCCAGGCUGGGGGAGAGGACCCAGAAUGCUAAGGACUCCGAGAGCUGUACUUGAACUGAAGGUCUGUAUCCUCCGAGUCAACCUUGCUCACAUCUAUUGCACACAGAGCUGAUGAGUGAACUACAAAAAAUAUCUUCUAGCACCAGGCCCACCAGGGACGAAGGGCAUACUUUUGCAGUCUCCACAAGAGCUUUUUUUUCCUGUAUCUUCUUAAUGUGAGCUUGGUUGCCAUAGCAACAGCCAAGCUCUGCUGAAGUAGAUUCCUUUUAUAAUGAGCCUGGAAGACCUUAAGACGAAUAAAAACAAACUUUGCUGUUUUAGUCCAAAAAAACUAAAAAUUUCUUCCUUAACUAUCUGUUACCAGAAAAUAUUUAUAGUACUUAUAUUAUGUUAAUCAUAAAGUGAAUGUGACUUAUUACUUCCUUUUAAACACCUGGUUAAAUUGAUUAUAUAGAGAUUACUGGGUUUCUGGGUCCAUGGGUCACACAGGAAUCUGGGACAAAAUUUUAUCAAUCAUACAAACCACCAUCAAAAGCUUCUUGAUUUUGACCUGUUUUAUUUGAGUGAAGUCAUUGCUCUUCUCAAUUUGUGG